rnacentral:rRNA from 1 species
AUUGAACGCUGGCGGCAUGCUUUACACAUGCAAGUCGAACGGUAACAGGCCGCAAGGUGCUGACGAGUGGCGAACGGGUGAGUAAUGCAUCGGAACGUGCCCAGUCGUGGGGGAUAACUACUCGAAAGAGUAGCUAAUACCGCAUACGAUCUAUGGAUGAAAGCGGGGGACCGUAAGGCCUCGCGCGAUUUGAGCGGCCGAUGUCAGAUUAGGUAGUUGGUGGGGUAAAGGCUCACCAAGCCAACGAUCUGUAGCUGGUCUGAGAGGACGACCAGCCACACUGGGACUGAGACACGGCCCAGACUCCUACGGGAGGCAGCAGUGGGGAAUUUUGGACAAUGGGCGCAAGCCUGAUCCAGCAAUGCCGCGUGCAGGAAGAAGGCCUUCGGGUUGUAAACUGCUAUUGUACGGAACGAAACGGCUCUGGUUAAUACCCGGGGCUAAUGACGGUACCGUAAGAAUAAGCACCGGCUAACUACGUG